CCCUAGCUGAGUUACAGAAAAACAUGCUGUUGUCUGAGCAUCCCUGUUUUCGUUUGCUUCCUGUGUAGGUUUAGUGUUGGUUUUUCUUUUGUUUGCCUCUUGAGAAAAUUUAGUGGGUGCUCAUGGUACCUCUCCACGGGACUUUCCACACUGCCAGAGCCAGAAGCACACCAGGACAGAUAAAAUAAUGAGAGGCAUAGCAUAUUUAGCAGGUCUGAGUCUACUUAUUCAGUUUGGUGAGAAUGUGGAUCCUUACCUGUGCACCCACCUGGUCUACACUUUUGCCAUCAUGAAUUAUGCUAAUGAGCUCAUCACCUACGAGUGGAACGACAAGACCCUCUACAAGUCUUUCACCGCCUUGAAGACCAAGUAAUAGUUUCUGAUGAUGAAUACAAUUAAAUCAAUUUUGUAUCUAUUAAAAUGGUAAUUUGUUGCUCAUUUGGUAAAACACUACAUUUCUCUUUUUUACUAGGCAAGUCAGUUAAGAACAAAUUCUUAUUUACAAUGACGGCCUACUGGGGAACAGCGG
rnacentral:lncRNA from 1 species